GGAGGACUGUAGUGAAAUGAGUCUGAAAUCCUUAGGUCGCUGGUUCAACUCCAGCGCGAAGGAAUUUUAUAGGGUUGCAAAACCACUUUGAGGAAGUAUCAUUUCAUGAAGAAAUGGUAGUUAAUCAGCGAAAGUCGUUACCACUAGACAUAUUUAGGUUUUCUCUCAAUUACCCACGACCACUCAACAUUCGAUCGCGCAGUUGGUGGGGCAGAGGACUGUAAUGAAACAAGUCUGAAAUCCUUUGGUCGCUGGUUUAACUCCGGCUAGAAGGUAAUUUAUAGAAGGGCAAAACUACUUUGAGGAUUUAUCAUUUGGGGAAGAAAUGGCAAAUAUUCAAUCAGAG
ensembl:lncRNA